AUUGACUCUUAAAUCUGAUAUUUAUAGCUUUGGUGUUGUUCUGUUGGAGUUAAUCACUGGGCGAAAGGCAAUAGAUCGAUCUAAGAGGCCAGGAGAGCAGAACCUAGUUGCCUGGUCUCGUCAAUUUCUGAAGGAUCAGAAAAAGUUUUACCAAUUGGUUGAUCCUCUGUUGGAAGGGCGCUACCCUCGCCGUUGUUUGAACUAUGCAAUUGCUAUCACUGCAAUGUGUCUUCAUGAAGAAGCACAUUUUCGCCCUCUGAUUGGUGAUAUAGUUGUUGCCCUCGAAUACUUGGCCACACAGUGUCAUGGCACUGAAUCCAAUUCCAGUCGGGUACGAAGUGACACUCCACCAUCUUCUUUGCCAACAGAUAGGGGUGCAUGUCCUCAAGAACCAGUUUCUAGAAGCAAAGCAUUUUAAAUGUUGUUGGGAAGAAGCUUUUGAAACCCUCUUAUUACUGUGUCCUGCCAAACUUAAGAUGGGAAACU
rnacentral:misc_RNA from 1 species